GCAGGCGCGCAAAUUACCCACUCCCGGCACGGGGAGGUAGUGACGAAAAAUAACGAUACGGGACUCAUCCGAGGCCCCGUAAUCGGAAUGAGAACAAUUUAAAUCCUUUAACGAGGAUCAAUUGGAGGGCAAGUCUGGUGCCAGCAGCCGCGGUAAUUCCAGCUCCAAUAGCGUAUAUUAAAGUUGUUGCGGUUAAAAAGCUCGUAGUCGAAUCUGUGUCCCGCGCCGCCGGUUCGUCGCUCGCGGCGUUUAACUGGCGUGUCCGCGGGACGUCCUGCCGGUGGGCUUAGCCUUUUCAUUAAGGCGGCCCAAUCUUAAUCCCGCCGCGGUGCUCUUCACCGAGUGUCGAGGCGGGCCGGCACGUUUACUUUGAACAAAUUAGAGUGCUUAAAGCAGGCUAAAACUUCGCCUGAAUACUUCGUGCAUGGAAUAAUGGAAUAGGACCUCGGUUCUAUUUUGUUGGUUUUCGGAACCCCGAGGUAAUGAUUAAUAGGAACGGAUGGGGGCAUUCGUAUUGCGACGUUAGAGGUGAAAUUCUUGGAUCGUCGCAAGACGGACAGAAGCGAAAGCAUUUGCCAAAAACGNUUUCAUCGAUCAAGAACGAAAGUUAGAGGUUCGAAGGCGAUCAGAUACCGCCCUAGUUCUAACCAUAAACUAUGCCAGCUAGCGAUCCGCCGANGUUNCUNCUAUGACUCGGCGGGCAGCUUCCGGGAAACCAAAGCUUUNGGGUUCCGGGGGAAGUAUGGUUGCAAAGCUGAAACUUAAAGGAAUUGACGGAAGGGCACCACCAGGAGUGGAGCCUGCGGCUUAAUUUGACUCAACACGGGAAACCUCACCAGGCCCGGACACCGGAAGGAUUGACAGAUUGAGAGCUCUUUCUUGAUUCGGUGGGUGGUGGUGCAUGGCCGUUCUUAGUUGGUGGAGCGAUUUGUCUGGUUAAUUCCGAUAACGAACGAGACUCA
rnacentral:rRNA from 1 species